UAUGUGUAAUAACUUACGGAUGAAAUGGAAUAAGUAAUACUUAGACAAAUAUCCCUGACACUUCAGAUAAAGCACUUUUAAGAUCCUAGGUAUCUUAACAUAAGUAUUUAAAGAUGAUAUUAUGAGAAGAGGUCCAUCUAGGACAUAGAAAGACCAAGGACCCCUUCCCCAUAUGAAUGUCAAUGUGGUGGAAGGUGGACAUCAGCACGGAUAUGAAGAUGUGGCUCCUGCAUUCAACAGCCUUAGAAUAUGUCCACAUGCUUCCAUUCACCCCAUGCCUCAGUUUCCUUACUGCUAAUAUGGGAGCCUCAAAAUCAGACAAUGUGUGUCUUUGUCCAUAGCCAGGCUGCAACCAACUCAGAAUACCUCGUCAUAAGGCACAAAGCCCUACUGACCGGCAGGUACCACACUGAGCUUCUCCAUCCAUUUUCUGGACACAACACAGGAUGUCCAGCCUCCUUCAUUCUACAAAAAAUUCCAGAAACUGGUCACUCUUCUAGUCACUCAACAUCAGACUCAGCCAAAGCAACCUUGGAACUCAGCUGAAUGUCAUGGGGGCGUGCUUUCUCUUCACCAAAGGAAGCCCACCUAAUCACUGACCUGCUGUUUUAAGUCUGGGCUGAAAAAACUUGGGAUGGGUGGUGGGCAUGAUUGCUGGGGAAUUCUCUCCUGCACUUGUGUAUUUUUUAAAGACAUACCGAUAAGGCACAGCUGACGUCACAGAACCUGUAAGUACCUCUUAGCUCUCGUUUCACGCAAUGCUUCUACAGACAUGCUUUCAUGGGUCUUUUAAGCACAGAUGGCAAGAGGAUGAAGAGUUUCCUGUUUCAGGGUCCAGGAGUUCUGUUCCUUCCAUCCUCCUUCCAUUCUUCAUUCUUAGAAAGAAAACAAAACCCAGGCUGGCUGGCGAUACAGUGCUCUUUAGACAAAGCAGCAAGCACACCACCUAGCUGAUGUUAUUGCUUUGUCCUCUCACUCUCAGGCAACAGCUGCAGAUCUGCGGGCUCAGGAGAAGUGGGCAGGGCUUUCAAAGGAAGCUGAAGAGAAAGGGCUAUAAGGAGAAGACUCUCUGCAAAGCUUGUCUUCUCAGCCGAAGAUAGACCUGACUUCCAUCCCCCUUGUCCUCAAGAGGCACCAAAAAAGAUCAUGGUGUUGUUCCCAUUUUGUAGAUGGGGAAAACCAAGGCAGUGGGUCUCACAGUAAACUUUUCUGAGAGCAGCCAAUUUAAUCUUUAUAAAAAUUUGUGAGGGGCUAGAUGUACUUUGUAAACAUUUUUAACUUUCCUUUGGAGCAAAUUUUGCUUCAUAGUUAAUGCUUUUUAUUUCCUUUACUCCACAAUGGCUUCAGACCAGUCUGCAAGGAAAUGGUAAUGAAGAGUGAGGUAGCUUAUCCACAACACUGACUCACACUGAACUGGUGGGAAGCUCAGGGGAGCAGGUUGACUGCCAGAAGGGCACGGGGAGACAUUUCCAAACACCACUUCUAUUGCCUCCUCCAGUUUGAACGAUUUGUUGAUAGGACCAUGGGCGGCUUCUGGAGGUGUCUGAGAUUAUGACCUUGCUUCUUCUGGGGAAGCUCUGUAGUCAGAAAAUGAGACUUACCAUCACUUACCCCUGAAUGACCCUGAGGCACUGACUCAUCUAUCUCAAGCCUCAUCUGCAUCAUGUAGAACAGGGGAUUGCAUUAUCAUAAUUGAACUAGACAACAUGUCCACGUGAGGCUUUGCCAUUUAUGAAAUCCACCUUCCCGGGGCUGAUGCUUCAGCACAUUUAACUGUAAAACACUGCCCACCUUUUGUGGUUGCUUCUGAGGGUCUGACCACCUAGUACUCAUCAAGUAGAGGGCAGUGUGGCUGGAGUUCAGAGAAGACUCCCACAGAGCCUGGUACCUGGGGUGGAAAGGUAAAGGGUAAAGGUCAGUGAGACAGACUGCCAAUGAUGAGCUGACAGUUUCUUUAUCUGUAAAAUAAGGACUAUAACAACACUUUUCCUCCUAGGCUGUCAGAGGGAAUAAAAGAGAUAAUCCACAGGCUCAGUAAAUACUCACAGCCACCACCACCAUCACCACCAUCAUCAUCAUUGUCACCGGCAGCUCGUUACAGAAAUAACCCAAAUGUCACAUUGGGGAGGUCUUAAAAAGCUCUGUGUUGGGGAUCCCUGAGGAGUGGUACACACUUUGGAACAUUCCUUCUAAAUAAUGCUCAGAGUUCUUUAUGCCAAAGCGUAACAUGUUGGUAGAACCUAUUAUGUUCUUGGAAGUGUUUCCCUCCAAUAUCAAAUAUUAGGAAGAAAAAUUAAAAAGGAUCAAAGUAGAGGGACUCAGAUGAUUCACAGCCAACGUGGGCUACAGAGUGUUCAGGUGUUUAUAUAAUGAAAUCACAGAAAAAUAAUGGAAAAAGGAAACAUACAAUUAAUGUCAGUAGGAGAGCUGGCUAGCAAUAUUGAGAAAACAUUUUGAUGCCCAUUUGGUAACUACAACCUUGUCUCUGGAGACUAAGUUCUAUCAUUGGCUUCUGCCACACGGUGACCCCAUCAUCCCCACCAGCCUGCCCAGCCUACAGAGCCCGACCACCACAGAGCUCGUCAAGGCAGUUGGUGCCACCUCACUACAUUUCUCAGAGCCUUAGCAGAGCAUCCUCUGAGCCCUCUCUGGGGACGGUGAGGAAGUAGGUGUGCAGACUGCAGGUGAUAAACCUACUCCAACCUCCCAGCCAUCCUAGGCUUUUGCGUCCUUCCUUCUGCAUUAUCCCAGGAAAGUUCUAGAACCUUGCUACUGAAUGUAGAACCACUGAGUUUAACUUAUAGCCAAUCAGCAAAGCAAUCUUUUAGAGCCACUUCCAACUGCUUGAGCUAACACAUGAAUUCAGAAUCUCUCUAUUCCAUCUUCCUUAGUCAAACACCCUUAGAAUCCAUUCCUGAACAUUUCUCAGGCUUUCACCAGUAUAAUUUAGCAAAACCUUGCAAUCCUUUUGGAGGAAUGUCCCUCCUGGGCUCACCCUGUUACACUGCCCUGGGGACCAGACGUUACUCUGGCCACCCCAUGGGGGUCAGGCCUUGGUGGAGGCAGGGCUCCUGGGCCCCAACUCUUUCUGCUCCUAGUUACCAUCAGUGUUUCCACUUGUGGAGACAGUUCCUUAGGAAGCAAAAUUUGCUGACUGAGGUGCUCAGUUCUAUUUUGGUGUUUUGCCAGAGAUCAUUUUUGUUUUUUUUUAAGAUUUUAUUUAUUUAUUCAUGAGAGACACAGAAAGAGAGAGGCAG
rnacentral:lncRNA from 1 species